GGCCGCGGGAAUUCGAUUCAGGCCUAACACAUGCAAGUCGAGCGAACCCUUCGGGGUGAGCGGCGGACGGGUGAGUAACGCGUGGGUAACCUGCCCUGUACACACGGAUAACAUACCGAAAGGUAUGCUAAUACGAGAUAAUAUAUUUUAAUCGCAUGGUUAAGAUAUCAAAGCUCCGGCGGUACAGGAUGGACCCGCGUCUGAUUAGCUAGUUGGUGAGGUAAUGGCUCACCAAGGCGACGAUCAGUAGCCGACCUGAGAGGGUGAUCGGCCACACUGGAACUGAGACACGGUCCAGACUCCUACGGGAGGCAGCAGUGGGGAAUAUUGCACAAUGGGCGAAAGCCUGAUGCAGCAACGCCGCGUGAGUAAUGGAGGCCUUCGGGUCGUAAAGCUCUGUCCUCAAGGAAGAUAAUGACGGUACUGAGA
rnacentral:rRNA from 1 species